rnacentral:rRNA from 1 species
UGGGGAAUAUUGGACAAUGGGCGCAAGCCUGAUCCAGCAAUGCCGCGUGUGUGAAGAAGGCCUUAGGGUUGUAAAGCACUUUCAGUGGGGAAGAAAAGCAAGGCGUUAAUACCGCCAUGUCAUGACGUUACCCACAGAAGAAGCACCGGCUAACUCCGUGCCAGCAGCCGCGGUAAUACGGAGGGUGCGAGCGUUAAUCGGAAUUACUGGGCGUAAAGGGCGCGUAGGUGGUUUGGUAAGUCGGAUGUGAAAGCCCCGGGCUUAACUUGGGAAUUGCAUUCGAUACUGCCUCACUUGAGUAUGGUAGAGGGAAGCGGAAUUCCGGGUGUAGCGGUGAAAUGCGUAGAUAUCCGGAGGAACAUCAGUGGCGAAGGCGGCUUCCUGGACCAAUACUGACACUGAGGUGCGAAAGCGUGGGGAGCAAACAGGAUUAGAUACCCCCGUAGUCC